GCUUAAGCACAACUACCAGACCCCGGUCCGCCAGAAAAUUACGAGCGAAAGCCUAAAACUCAAAAGACUUGACGGUGUCCCAACCUUCCUAGAGGAGCCUGUUCCGUAAUCGACAACCCACGAUAUACCUAACCACCUUUAGAUAUUACAGCCUAUAUACCGCCGUCGCACAGCCUGCCUUUUAAAAGAACAUAAAUAGGCUAAAUAGUACAAUACUAACAAGUCAGGUCAAGGUGUAGCUAAUAAGGUGGAGGAAAUGGGCUACAUUUUUUAUAUUAAAUAAUACGAACUAACACCCCUGAAAAAGAAAAUGAAGGCGGAUUUAGCAGUAAUUUAAACAAGAAUAUUUAAAUUAAUACCAGCUCUGGGACACGU
rnacentral:rRNA from 1 species